GUUAUCAGCUGGGGGUCCCCGCACCUAGCCAAGAGCGCACAUCGCUGUGCGUUGUUUGACAGUUACAGUGUCAUGGCCAAUCAGCGGCAGGGCACAAAGCUCUUGGAUAGGUGCGGGGUGAGAAACACCCUUUGAACCUGAUCCGGUUAAUCCCGGCGUAGGGAAGCUCGCUUCAAGCCUC
rnacentral:ncRNA from 1 species